rnacentral:rRNA from 1 species
GUUAGUGUUAAUGAUAUUGAGGGUACACCUGUUCCCAUCUCGAACACAGAAGUUAAGCUCAAUGAUGCUGAAAAUACUGGGCUGGCAGCAGCCUUGGAAAAUAGGGAAAUGCUAACU